rnacentral:rRNA from 1 species
CCUACGGGAGGCAGCAGUAGGGAAUAUUGCUCAAUGGGGGAAACCCUGAAGCAGCAACGCCGCGUGGAGGAUGAAGGUUUUCGGAUUGUAAACUCCUUUUGUUAGAGAAGAUAAUGACGGUAUCUAACGAAUAAGCACCGGGUAACUCCGGGCCAGCAGCCGCGGUAAUACGGAGGGUGCAAGCGUUACUCGGAAUCACUGGGCGUAAAGAGCGCGUAGGCGGGAUAGCAAGUCAGAUGUGAAAUCCUAGGGCUUAACCAUAGAACUGCAUUUGAAACUGUUAUUCUAGAGUAUGGGAGAGGUAGGUGGAAUUCUUGGUGUAGGGGUAAAAUCCGUAGAGAUCAAGAGGAAUACUGAGUGCGAAGGCGACCUGCUAGAACAUAACUGACGCCGAUGCGCGAAAGCGUGGGGAGCAAACAGGAUUAGAUACCCCAGUAGUC